GCCGCUCGCGUCGAUUCACGUGCUGCCACCUCCCCGUCCCUCCUCGAGCUCGUCGCGGUCCGGCUAGCCGAGGUGCAGCUGCUGUUUGGAACCUUGGUGAGUUGGGGAAGAUAGCUGGCCGACUCUUUGUUGUACAAUAGGUGCAGCUGCUGUUUGGAACCUUGGUUGUGCUUGCAUCUAAAGGGCGGAGACAAUGGAUGGAACAAAAGAUGGAUCGUCGCAAAGAGGCAUGAGCCUGGCGGCUAAUGAAGGAGAGAGGAGGUGGCAUAUGGAGGAUGAGAAGGCGGAGGAGGUGGUAUAUGGAGGGUGAGCAGGCGGACGAGGUGGCACUCCCACAACCUGCAGCUGGCUUGUCGCGCGAGAAUCAGAAUGCAACAUACUUGUGUUUGUGCCUUUCUAAUCGCCUAUCUAUGUUUUUGAACAUAAUUCCAGUUGUUAACGAAUCAACAUACUGUUAAUUGCAAAGUUAGUACCAUUGUUGUUCCCUUUAAGAUUAUCACGAACAGAAUUUUUUUCUUUCACUGUUCAACAUUUGUUAUAGAAAAGUUACUCCACUUCGUAUGCUCUCUAUAUGUUCAAGUUGGUCUAUUGUUGUAUUUGUUCAAUUCCUCUAAGCAUAUGUUAUUCAGUGUAUUUAUAUUUUGAACGUUUCGCGGGUAUUUAACGUCAACCCCUGCUUGUCAGCCCGGAGAGAGGGAUAUUUUACUCCGUCCUUUAUUUACACCCUGUUGAUUAUCAUCGAGUUCACUCUCCUGUUGAUUGGAUUAUUUUAAAACGUCAACAUUUCUCAGGUAACCUUUUCUGAACAAGUGUACGUGUUGUGCGGACCAUAAGAAACUUGUGUUGAGAAUGAAAGGGUAAAUUGCAAUCCUAGCAGUUGGCGCUACUAAUGUUAGUUCUGUCAGGGGGAUUUCUAAACCAGUGGCAACAACGGCCAAUGAUCUGAAUUGCAGAUAAUUGUUGUACUGCAUGAUAUCUCUAGCUCCUUUUUCAUAUCGUUUUAUUCUAUUGAUAUUUCAAAGGUUUCCCAAUUAAUAAGUUGACAGAUGAAAAUGAUAUUUAUGUGAGUUGUCACUGAAUUAUUUUUAGGGUACUAACUUUAGUUUCUUUGUACUGAUGUUCUGUACCAGGUAGAGUACAAUCCCAUUUGAUUUUCUCAAUUUGGCAUAAUGAUUGGUUUUUACACAUAGGAAAUACAUUCUGGAAAUUUUGCUUGAUGAUUCUUCUGCCAUGAUUUCUGUGGAUCGCUAUAACAUUACUAUUCAUUUUUCAUGUGGUGUGUUGGCUAGACUUAGUUUAUUGUGUAUAAAAAUAGAUCAACCAUUCAAAUACCUUUUAUGUGUUAUAAGAGAAAGAAACAACAUUUGAUUGGUAUUAGUUUCUGUGAGCAUUGAUUUAUUAUUUAUAACGAGCAAACAAUACUCUUUGCUAUAUAGCAUUUCUGCCUACCAUCUAAAACUGAGCACCUCUUUGUAGGGAAUGAUUUUUGUGGCGUCCAUUCGCUGGCACACGACGUCUCCCAGUGCCGCAUUAUCGCUGAUUCAAUCCUAGCUGCCGCAUCACCAUUCUUGAUGUCGCCACCGCGACAAGGUUGUGGUCAUGUCCUCAGGUAAAUAUUCACCGGAGAAAAACUACAGGCAUAUAUCGUAGUUCCUAUGUUCAGCUGGUUGUAACCUGCCGUGCAUAUGUUUUGAUGAAAUUAUGAAGAACACUUCAUGGAUGCACGUAUUAAUAAUAUUUAUCAACAGUAGGUUAUUUCAGCACGAGAGUAGUUGAUACUGUUGUUUCCGACUCAGGAUUUGCAGCUUCCGUCAUCAGCGAGAGAGAAUAGCUGGGAAUGUCGGUGUUCUGUGCUGUUGAGUUAUGGGUGAGUCACCUAAUUGUGGAUGACAAAUAAAGUGUCAGGAAAAUUUGUCUGCCACACAAUAGAAGGGGAUUAGGCGGUGAUGGUGUCUUCGUCUCAGGAAACGCUGGACCUACUUUGUGAUCAAGGAGAACAAAUAUAAACAGGUUCUGCUGGAGUAAGUGGAGGAGAAGGAACGCCUGCCGCUGGUGAGGACUCAGGGUAUUGCCAUCAACAAGAUGGAGGAUCAGACUACCGCCAACUAACUAGAUCAUCUUGAUUCUCUGUUAGCAUAGCUUUGCAUCUAAUAGCUCACACCAAUCUAUGGUUUCCUUGUGCUUAGAUGUUUUAUUAGACAGAUGUAUAAUGCAUUUCUCAAAGUACUGAACGAACUGGAUUGACCUUCACAAUCAAGGCACAUUCUAACAAAUCAGUAGAAAAAAACAUACCAGCUAUCUAGAGAUCUAUUGAAUUUGCUCCA